GACGUAGGGCGCGAGCGUUGUCCGGAUUUAUUGGGCGUAAAGCGCGUGUAGGCGGCCAGGUAGGUCCGUUGUGAAAACCCGAGGCUCAACCUCGGGACGUCGACGGAAACCAUCUGGCUAGAGUCCGGAAGAGGAGAGCGGAAUUCCCGGUGUAGCGGUGAAAUGCGUAGAUAUCGGAAGGAACACCAGUGGCGAAAGCGGCUCCCUGGUCCAGCACCGACGUUCAGGCACGAAAGCGUGGGGAGCAAACAGG
rnacentral:rRNA from 1 species